AAAUUUUGUUGUCGACUUCUUUUAGUUGUUCUAGCGGCUCUGAGUGACAAGACGCGAAUUAAUUGUCAUCAAAAGCAUCUAACCUGUUCUUUUUACGUCGGACCUUACGGGAAUGUUUGCUGGGGUUGUAAUAAUAUAACAAGCGAAUUAACGGCGCAGCCAAAUGAGUCGCCACAAUUCAAGUCAAGUCCAAAAUUGAAGAAAAAAAAACACUUUCUGAAAGUUCCAAACAUACUUCCACAUUGGGGGUGAGUCAAAGCAAGGAAUUAGUUUACCACUCGACUGAGUUGAAUAGAGAGAAACGCAAUUCAAAACUAAUGAACUGAAGUCCGCCUUUGCGAAUAUCAGCUAGAUUAUAUAUUAUUUCAUGACAGUCGGGCCAACAUAACCGGAACGGACCCGGAUUUUCGACGGUCCAAGGACUGCCAACUCGCCAGAAUUGUCGCUACAACAACAAUAACUCUGAUCUUCCUCAAGCCUUCGGAGGCUUCCCAACACCGGGCCUCCUGGAAAGUAACUAUUAUGACAUACGCUUCUAUAUAUACAGUGGUGAUCUUAUAAUUAGAAACGACUUUGCUGCAUAAUUUUCUUAAUUUAUGUUAAUAAUUUAGA
rnacentral:lncRNA from 1 species